rnacentral:rRNA from 1 species
GAUGAACGCUGGCGGCGUGCUUGAUACAUGCAAGUCGAACGAAGAUUGUAGCAAUACGAUCUUAGUGGCGAACGGGUGAGUAACGCGUUGGUGACCUGCCCCGAAGUGGGGGAUAACAGCUCGAAAGGGCUGCUAAUACCCCAUGUGAUCUACUGGGUUAGAGGCCGGUAGAUUAAAGGAUUUAUUCGCUUCGGGAGGGGCCUGCGUCCCAUCAGCUAGUUGGUAAGGUAACGGCUUACCAAGGCGAUGACGGGUAGGGGACCUGAGAGGGUGACCCCCCACACUGACACUGAAACACGGGUCAGACACCUACGGGAGGCUG